rnacentral:tRNA from 1 species
AUGCCUUGAUGGUGAAAUGGUAGACACGUGAGACUCAAAUCUCGUGCUGAAAAGCAUGGAGGUCAAUCCUCUUCAGGCA